rnacentral:rRNA from 1 species
AAGCGACUAAGCGUACACGGUGGAUGCCCUGGCAGUCAGAGGCGAUGAAGGGCGUGCUAAUCUGCGAUAAGCGCCGGUAAGGUGAUAUGAACCGUUAUAACCGGCGAUACCCGAAUGGGGAAACCCAGUGUGAUUCGUCACACUAUCAUUAACUGAAUCCAUAGGUUAAUGAGGCGAACCGGGGGAACUGAAACAUCUAAGUACCCCGAGGAAAAGAAAUCAACCGAGAUUCCCCCAGUAGCGGCGAGCGAACGGGGAGGAGCCCAGAGCCUGAAUCAGCAUGUGUGUUAGUGGAAGCGUCUGGAAAGGCGCGCGAUACAGGGUGACAGCCCCGUACACAAAAGCGCAUGUGCUGUGAGCUCGAUGAGUAGGGCGGGACACGUGGUAUCCUGUCUGAAUAUGGGGGGACCAUCCUCCAAGGCUAAAUACUCCUGACUGACCGAUAGUGAACCAGUACCGUGAGGGAAAGGCGAAAAGAACCCCGGCGAGGGGAGUGAAAAAGAACCUGAAACCGUGUACGUACAAGCAGUGGGAGCACCCUUCGGGGUGUGACUGCGUACC